AUUGAACGCUGGCGGCAUGCUUUACACAUGCAAGUCGAACGGUAACAGGGUGCUUGCACCGCUGACGAGUGGCGAACGGGCGAGUAAUGCGUCGGAACGUGCCGAGUAGUGGGGGAUAACGCAGCGAAAGUUGUGCUAAUACCGCAUACGUACUGAGGUAGAAAGUGGGGGACCUUCGGGCCUCACGCUAUUCGAGCGGCCGACGUCUGAUUAGCUAGUAGGUGAGGUAAAGGCUCACCUAGGCGACGAUCAGUAGCGGGUCUGAGAGGAUGAUCCGCCACACUGGGACUGAGACACGGCCCAGACUCCUACGGGAGGCAGCAGUGGGGAAUUUUGGACAAUGGGCGAAAGCCUGAUCCAGCCAUGCCGCGUGUCUGAAGAAGGCCCUCGGGUUGUAAAGGACUUUUGUCGGGGAGGAAAUCCCCAGCGUUAAUACCGCUGGGGGAUGACAGUACCUGAAGAAUAAGCACCGGCUAACUACGUGCCAGCCGCCGCGGUAAGAC
rnacentral:rRNA from 1 species